rnacentral:lncRNA from 1 species
CCGCCGUCAGGCAGCUCUUCCGACGGAGCCUCGACUCCCCUCGAGCGGUCCGGUCAACCCCGAGUAGCCCCCGGUCCAAUGGUGAGGCCGGGUCCCGGGCCGCCCUGGGCCGGACCGGCAGUGGGUUCCCCACACUACUUGGCUGAGAAGCAUAGAAGAGAAAUCAUAUGAUAUAGAAUGGCAAGAAGAGAAAAGAAAUACAGAGAAAAAUGGAGUAUGAUUUUUCUCAUAAAAAGAAAAAUCACUGCUCAAACUCCAGGCUUUGAUGCAUCGUUCUGUAUCAGGCAAAAUUUCACAUCAAGUUCUUGCUACUUGUCAUCGGAGUGGUAAGGGAAAAAAUCAUUGGAAAUUGGAAGAAGAAUUCCACUUUCUAAAUGUUAAAAGAAAUUUGAGGAUUUUAUAUGAAUACUUAGCAUUGAUUUCUGACCUGAAACUUAUUUCACAGGGAUUGAGAAGCCGAAAGUGAUCAUCUCCUAUUCUUCUUUAGAUCUUUGGGUUUGCCAAA